rnacentral:misc_RNA from 1 species
CCCACCCCACACCCCUUAAAAUCAUCAUCACUCCCCUAUCUAUAAAUUAUGAAAGGUCCUUAUGCAGUGAACGACAUCUCUGCAUGAUAUAUACAUGCAAUGUAUAAUGGUUAUCGAUAUUAUGCGGCAAAUCGAAUGGAUAUAGGCGGCGCUGAAUAUUCAUUGAGGUCAUCAAGAACUUCCGCUAUCCCGGGCAGAAAGUUGACCUCGCCGGCUGUUGUCAAAACGGGAUCGUGAUCGCGUGAUACAUCCUGAGUAUCAGCUAUGAGUAGCACAGCGGAUGUGGAGUCCCUGUUUGACAGGUUCUGGCAGUGGAGACACGCAGACAGUCCUGAGUUUGCUUCCUACUGUGGUAACCAUGACAACGAGGACUGCUGGGAUGACAUCAGCGAAGAAGCAUAUCUGAACAGAGAGGCUAAGGUUCGAGAGUUCCUGUCAGAAGCUGAAGCUUUGGAUGCCAGGUCGUGCUCCCAGGUAACCAGAGACAGCCUUGCCAUCAUCAAGGAAGACCUGAAAUCCUACCUAGAUGGGGCAAAGUUUAAGUGCUACCUGUUCCCUAUAAACUUCAUGGAGGGUAUCCACAAUGAGCUGCACCAGGUGCUAGGCUACCAAGACUUCAACUCCCACGUUGGCUACACGAAGUAUCUGGCCAAGCUCAAGGCAUUGCCUCACAGGAUUCUCCAAGUGAUUCCUGUCUUAAAACAAGGAAUAAAGGAAGGACUCACUAUGCACAAACAUUCCUUGGAAUCGGUGCCAAGCCAGUUGGAGAUGAUGAUAACAGAACCUGUUGAAGAAUCUGUACUGAUACAGCCGUUCCUCAAAUCAGAAGGGCCACUCUCUACAGAAGAGCUAGACACAUUGAAACAGCAGGCCGAGAGUGUACUCAUUACUAACAUCAGGCCUUGUCUGGAGAAGCUGAAAGACUUCCUAGUAAAUGAAUACAUGCAACACCUCAGGGCAGCAGAAGGGGUGUGCACGCUCAAGAAUGGUGUGGAGUUCUACCAGAUGUGCCUCAACUUCCACCUGUCCUGUGACAUGUCACCACAGGAAGUGCAUGACCUUGGUCUCAAGGAGGUUGCUAGGAUACGCAAACAAAUGCUGGAAAUAUCAGAAAAAGAAGGUUUUGGACAAGAUCUUAAAGCAUUCCAGAAGAAAUUACAUACAAGCAAGGAAUUCAGUUUCAGUUCAGUGGAUGAAGUGAUGAACUACGUCAAGGACAUCUGCUUUAACCAGAUCCGUCCCCAACUCCAUCGACUGUUUCACACCCUCCCAGACAUUCCUCUAGCGUUACAGUUAACACCACCAUCCAUGGCCAAUUCCCCAGCUGGGUUCUACACGGCUGGGACAGCAGACAAGUCCAGGCCAGGCCUCUACCAGAUCAAUGCGAAUAAGCUGGAGUCUUGUAAGAAGUACGAGUUUAUGGCGUUGAGUCUACAUGAAGGGGAACCAGGACAUCACCUGCAGCACAGCCUUUCUAUGGCUACAACUGUCCCCGUGUUCAGACAGUAUGUAGAGGACGGCAAGUACUACUUGACACCAGGGAGGUUCCCCAUGCACACAGCAUACAUUGAGGGUUGGGGCCUGUACUCAGAGUCACUGGGCCUGGAACUAGGAAUGUACACAGACAACUACUCCCUGUUUGGUCGCUACAGUUUUGAAAUAUUGCGAGCAGCUAGACUUGUUGUAGACACAGGACUCCACGCCAUGGGGUGGACCCAGGCUAAGGCUGUGGAGUACCUGGUGGACAAUACUCUGUCUGAUGAGUGGUCAAUGAGGAAUGAGGUCAACAGGUACAUCACCAUUCCUGCUCAGGCUUGUGCCUACAAAAUUGGUGAACUGAAACUGUGGGAACUUCGACACAAAGCAGAAAAGGAGCUUGGAGACUUGUUUGAUGUGAGAGACUACCAUGCAGCAGUUCUUCAGUGUGGGCCUGUUCCACUCACUUUCCUGGAAGGAGCCAUAGAAGAGUAUAUCAGCACCACAAAGGAAAACCAGGGCUCACCUUCCAAGAAAGCCAAGGCACAGUAAAUGCUGGAUUGGAACAGAUUCACCGACUAACCAGAAGAUGAUUUUAGCAAAUUGUAGUUAUGAAUUGACAUUCAGUUCAAGAUAUAAGACAUAUUGACCUCUGUGACUCCACAGUUUCAUGUGGAUUUGGACAAUUACAUUUAAAAGUCUUGUGUUCAAGAGAAAUACCUGAGAUAUUAUCUGAUUCUAGUAGUUAUUGUUUUUCCCCAUUUACCAGUAAGAUUCCAUGAAAUUACAAAGAUAUGAUUAGUUGAUUUAGGUGAAUUGUUCACGGAAUGUGAAUCCAGAGAUUCGUGUGAGUUUCCAUAGCAGUAAACACAGGUUUUGUUAAUACAUAUCCAUUGUAUAUUUGAGCAAUGUUAUUAUUGACCCCAAAUGGGUAAUAAUUAGGUUUGAUUCAAUGAUAAUCCAAACAUGAUGUGUAGGGUUGUGUUUGGUUAUGACAAUUUUGUAGUUUUGUGAAGAGCAUUUGAUAAAAGUUUGCCUUAUAUCUUGCCAGAAAAAUAGAUUCAGUAUUCAAAGAUGAAUCUUGGAGCCAUUUUUGAAAAAAUCACCCCCAGUCUCCUGGUGUCAUUUCUAAAUGUGUUGUCCCCAGUCUCCUUUCCAAAUGUGUUGUCCCCAGUCUCCUUUCUAAAUGAUUUGUCCCAAGUCUCCUGGUGUCAUUUCUAAAUGUGUUGUCCCCAGUCUCCUUUCUAAAUGAUUUGUCCCAAGUCUCCUGGUGUCAUUUCUAAAUGUGUUGUCCCCAGUCUCCUUUCUAAAUGAUUUGUCCCAAGUCUCCUGGUGUCAUUUCUAAAUGUGUUGUCCCCAGUCUCCUUUCUAAAUGACUUGUCCCCAGUCUCCUGGUGUCAUUUCUAAAUGUUUUGUUCCCAGUCUCCUGGUGUCAUUUCUAAAUGUGUUGUCCCCAGGCUCCUUUCUAAAUGUGUUGUCCCCAGUCUCCUUUCUAAAUGUUUUGUCCCCAGUCUCCUUUCUAAAUGUGUUGUCCCCGGUAUCCUUUCCUAAUGUGUUGUCCCCAGUCUCCUGGUGUCAUUUCUAAAUGUUUUGUCCCCAGUCUCCUUUCUAAGUGUGUUGUCCCCAGUCUCUUUUCUAAAUGUGUCAUUACCAGUCUCCUUUCUAAUGUGUUGUCCACAGUCUCCUUUCUUAAUGUGUUGUCCCCAGCCUCCUGGUGUCAUUUCUAAAUGUUUUGUCCCCAGUCUCCUUUCUAAAUGUGUUGUCCCCAGUCUCCUUUCUAAUGUGUUGUCCCCAGUCUCUUUUCUAAAUGUGUCAUUACCAGUCUCCUUUCUAAUGUGUUGUCCACAGUCUCCUUUCUAAAUGUUUUGUCCCCAGUCUCCUGGUGUCAUUUCUAAACGUUUUGUCCCCAGUCUCCUUUCUAAAUGUGUUCCUCCUGUCUACUGGUGUCAUUUCUAUAUGUGUUGUCCCCAGACUCCUGAUAUCACUUUUGAAUGAGCCAUCCCUGGAAUCUUUAAUGGAAGAGACAUCUCUCCUGGAAUUAUUUCAAAAUGAGAUACCUGCAUAUCCAUUUCGUCUGAAUGAGCCAUACUUGUAUCUAUUCAGCCAUGUCAGUUUGAGUCAUCCCAGACAGGUAUCUGGUCAGGGAAGUUAGUGUGCCUUGUCAAUGUGAUGUCCAUUUCUCUGUGACAGUUUGCUGUCUCAAAUUCCAAUAAUAUUUGCCUCUCAACUGGAAACAUUUUAUUGAAAUAUCUUUCUAUUCAAGGUUGGAUCGGACAUUGCUUUUCAACUGUCUGCCAAAUAUUUCCUUAUGUGCAAAUAGUCAGAUCCAAUAUUACACACUAGAUAUCUACGUCAUAAUAUGAGUUAUAUUUACUGUUUUUACUGGAAUAAUAUAUUUUUUAAAAAGA